UUUUUUUGUCUUAUUUUUUUUUUUUGGUUCCUUUUUGCAUUCCAUUUUAAAUGAUUUCUGUUUUUGUCUUCAAGCUCACACAUCUUUAACAAUGUCUAAACUGACAUUAAUUGCACCUUACGUAUUUUUUAAUUUCAAGAUAUACAAUUCAGAUCUCUUUCAAAUCUUCCACAUCUCGAAGUACCAUGUCCAAUCCUUUUUCUAGCUCCCUGAACAAAGGGAAGUUACUAUCUUAAUGUCAUGUCUACUAAUUCUAAUUAUCCAUGUUAUUUCCUCAUCCAUGUUGACUGUUUUAUUUGUCUACAUUAUGGGUUAAAUUUUCCUGCUAAUUUCCACAUCUAGGAAUACGCAAAUAUCCAAAUGGAACUAGAUAAACUUCACAAUGCCUGCUGAUAUAAAUAUUCCAAGUUUUGUUUUAUGAUGUAGUUAAGUUUCUUGGAAAUAUUUUUCUCAUUUGGGGUCUUGCUUUGAAGCUUGUUAGGUGGGAUCAAAGCAGCAUUUAGUCUAGGACUCAAUUUGCUUCACCACUAAGGAAAACGUUUAUGAGGGCUCUAUCCCUAUCCCAUGAAACAUGAGGUUUUCCUCUCUGGCUAUGGAAAUAGGCACCGUGUUUGGCAUUGUGUGAGCUUCAGUAUCAUUCUCUUUUUUUUCUUCGACUGCUCCUAAGGCAUGCAGAAGUUCCCGGGAUAGCAAUCAAACCUGCACCACAGUAGGACAACGCUAGAUCCUUAACCCAUCGCCAUAAGAGAACUCCCAAGUAUCAUUCCUUUUAUUCGCUUACAGGCAGUAGUUUUUCCUAGCUGAAUUAGUCCCACACUGAAGGGUUCAGACGGAUCCUUUCCAAACCUCCAGAGCUUCCUUUCUAGGCAACUCUCUCCUCUCUAACACUCUUUCCUGAGAUCUCCAGCCACGUUGGCCUCUCAAGACUCUCAGCUCUGUCACCUCAAAUCAGGGAGACAGCUAAGCUCCUCUCCUAUAACCUGGUCUGGUUCUGGAAAUGCUCUCAGACAAAAGCUGGGGCCAAUGCAGGUCCCUCUUCAUUUGUUUCUAAUCUCUAAGGAUCAGUGCACUUUCCUGACUCUUGCUCAAUGUCUUGAAAAAUUCAUGAUUUCAUAUGGUUUUUUUUUUUUUUUCUGGUUUUGUGGCUAUUUUAGAUGGGAGGGUAAAUUUGGUCCCUGUGACUUUCUCUGUCUUGGCCACAAGUGGGAGCCUCUCCGUGAACUUAGAAUCUAGUUGUGGGGGAGUUUGCAAAGAUGAAUUGAAUGAAAGCAUACAGACUAGCACAUCAGAAAGUGUUAAGCUAUGUGUAUGACUCUUACUGUCUCGAUAAAGUUAAGUUUAAAGGAAAAAAUUAAGUUCAAGUAAGAACCGCAUGAAGGUUACUGAAUAUCUGGUAACAGUAUGUUUUAUAUUUCCAAUAAGAAACAAAUAGAAGGCUUGGGCAAAAUCUCUGAGUGGUUCUGGUAGAGAUAAGAGGAGAACAAUGUUAUCAGCAGACAAAUUAACUUGGUAUUGAAAUCUAUAAUGUCUGCUCAUAAUAUUUUAAAGACAAGGAUACAUAACCACAUUGUAUUCAUCUAUUCACUUGUUCUUUUAUCAAGUAUUUAUUGGAUAUUUACCAUACAUGCUAUAGACCACACACUGGGAAUUUACCAAGUAUGUGAUAAUGAAUAAGGCAUUUUUUAAGCCCAACUAAUGGAGGAGAAAAAAGUACACACAAAUAUUAAUAAAAAACUAAUUACUAUAAUAGAGGUUUAUGCCAAGUGGUAUGUAACCAAGAUAUACAUAGAAAAAAGCCACUGGUUCCCUCUGCAGGUAGACCUGGGGAAUCAGAAAAAUUUUCAGAGGCAAGGUAAGAUUUAAGCUACAUCUUAAAAAACAUUUGAAAACUUGCCAGAUAAAUACUAUGAGAAGUAGAAAUUUCCUUCUAAAGAUAAAAAUAAGAUUAGUUCACAAUUUGUGGCAACUAGUACAAAAUGAAAAUACAGCGCCCUUGUUCCAAAAUUGUGAAGAAUCGCAAGAUAGAGAUGGCAGUGCAUUAAACAAAGUAUAGGUUCCUUUUGAGUGCAGGAUUCUGCCUGGCUGCACAGGAAACUGGCCCUGUGGUUCAGCUCCACAGCAUAUGGUGGACAGUGGAGAGAGGGUCAAGAGCCUGGAAAAUACAUGUUACAUAGGAAGGAGUGGAAUUCUAACCAUUCAACAGAAAAAAAGCAAUUAAAACUCUUAAAAUGUCUUUAAAAAAACUAAAAAUAGAGCUACAAUAUGAUCCUGCAAUCCCACUCUUGGGUAUAUAUCUGGAGAAAAACACAAUUUGAAAAGAUACUUGCACCAUAACGUUCAGAGCAGCACUACUUAACAAUACUCAAGAUGUGGAAGCAACCCAGAUGUCCAUCGACAGAGGAAUGGAUUAAGAAAAUGUGGUACAUAUAUACAAUGGAAUAUUACUCAGCUAUAAAAAGAAUGAAAUAAUGUCAUUUGCAGCAAACUGGAUGGACCUAAAGAUUAUCAUAUUAAGUGAAGAAAGUCAGACAGAGAAAGACAAAUAACAUAUGGUAUCACUUACAUGUGGAAUCGGAAAAAAAAGAAAAUGAUACAAAUGAAUUUGCGUACAAAAUAGAAAGAGACCCACAGACAUAUAAAACAAACUUAUGAUUACCAAAAGGGAAAGGGGGGAGUGAGAAAUUAGGAGUUUGGGGUUAAAGUACAUAUGUAUAAAACAGACAACUAACAAGGACCUACUAUAUAGCACAGGGAACUAUACUCAAUAUCUUAUAAUAACCUAUAAAGGAAGAGAAUGGGAAAAAAAGAAAAAAUAUAUAAAACUGAAUCACUUUGCUAUACACCUGAAACUAGCACGACACUGUAAAUCAACAGUGUAAAUUUCAAUAAAAAUUUUAAAAAUUAAAUUAAAAAUUAAAAAUUCUUAAAACUUAUUUCUAAAAAAGCUCUUACUUUCCUUCAUCUUUUUCUAUUGUUUUUCCAGCCUCUAUUUCAUUUCUUUCUGCACUAAUUUAUAAUAUUUCCUUCUUUCUGCUAUAUGUGGGCUUAGUUUGUUUUUCUAAUUCCCUGAGGUGUAAAGUUAGGUUGUUUAUUUCAGAUUUGCCCUUUUUAAUCAUAAUUAUUUAGAAAUAAACUAUUUUACUACUAUCAUAACAACAACUCUAGCUGAAAAUUAUGAAAUAAGAAAUUUCACCCAGUAAGUCUACAUGGCAUAUUAUUUAAAGGGGGUCACAAAACAAUAUCUCUCGUUACCUAAAUGCCUUUU
rnacentral:lncRNA from 1 species